UCUUUCGCCUCACUUCUCAGCC
rnacentral:siRNA from 1 species